UGGUGGAGUGAUUUGUCUGGUUAAUUCCGUUAACGAACGAGACCCCGCCUGCUAACUAGUCAGCUGAAUGCCUAGCAUUAAGUUGUACUUCUUAGAGGGACUUUCGGUGAUUAAUCGAAGGAAGUUGGGGCAAUAACA
rnacentral:rRNA from 1 species